GGGUAUUGGGUUUUGAGUUGAGCUUGGGUGGUCCUAAGCUAUUCUUUUUCUCUGUGAACGAGGUAUGCUCAUAUGGUUCUGUUAUUUUUAUUGGAAAACCAUAUGAACUAAAGGUAGAUAUUUAAACCAAGAGAAUAGAAAUUCGUUAUUUUCCAUUAUUAUUGGUAAAAAAAUUCGUUAUUUUUUGGGAGCUUUUUUAUGAGAUUUUCCUAUUUUUUUCUCAUUUUUUUUACUUAAUUUAAUAAACUGUAAUUUUCGUAAUAAAUGGUUUUAAAUUUUCAGAAAUUUUGUAGUUUGACGUUAAUUUGAGCUCCAUUUUCUUUUUUUCAGCAAGAUCCGUUUAAAAUUUCUGCUUGUUCUUCUGUUUUUUUUUCUUGGGCACUUCAAGUAUUUGAUUUUGUUCUUUAUUUUGCAGAUUUGGGGGAAAUCCAACCUAUUCUUCCUCAGCUACUUGAUGGUAUGUAAUUUGUAAAACUGUUUGCCAGUAAUUCUGUGCUCAUACACUCUUGUGAUGGGGAGGAGUUUUCUAAUAUGUUACCUCAAUUUUAUUUUAUUGUUUUUCAAGCUUAUGAAUGAAGUUGAAAAUGAGGAUCUUGUGUUUACUGAGUAAUGAUGGAGAUGUUGAAAAUGAGGAUCUUGUUUUUCAAGCUACGGACUAUUUUACUGGGUAAUGAUGGAGAUGUUGGACUUAAUAGUGUGUUGGGUGGAGCUGUGUUGGGAAUUGUGGCCUUGGAAUUGACUUAUGGGAAAAUUCCAGUUAACGGUCACCAAGAAUUGCUUGAUUUGGCUGCAAAAAUCAGUGAAAACAGAGGUUGCCAAACAGAUUAUGGGAGGAAAAGAAGAAACGUUGCCAAACAGAUUUUUGAAAGGAAGAAAAUGGGUAAAAGAUUUUCCAACUCUUUUGGUAAAAUGGUGGCAAAGUGUUUGGUAGGCUUUGGAAGCUAGCAAAGGUGCAAAUUGGUAUUUGCAGACUCAUGUAUCCUCCACCAAGCAGAUCGAUAGUUGUGGUAUUCCUAUUGCUAGAUGAUUUGACUUUUUGUGAGAGGUUUUGUCUUGCAGUAAAUCUGUGUAUUAGGCAUUUAUAAUCAUUGGCAUUCUUGUUGCACUCCCUGCUACGGAUGUGCUUUUACUUUGAAAAUUCUUGUUUCAGUCAUUUAUCGAUGAUUUAUAGUUAACAACAUUUUUGAUUGUCUAAGAAGAAUUGUCAGCUUAAGGUGUUUACUCUGUUUUUGGUUCACUUUGAGAGUGAUAAAUUUGAGAUGCUCAAGAACAUGAUUUUAUAAUUUA
rnacentral:lncRNA from 1 species